rnacentral:rRNA from 1 species
UACGUAGGGGGCAAGCGUUGUCCGGAAUCAUUGGGCGUAAAGCGCGUGUAGGCGGCCCGGUAAGUCCGCUGUGAAAGUCGGGGGCUCAACCCUCGAAUGCCGGUGGAUACUGUCGGGCUAGAGUGCGGGAGAGGCGAGUGGAAUUCCUGGUGUAGCGGUGAAAUGCGCAGAUAUCGGGAGGAACACCAAUGGCGAAGGCAGCUCGCUGGGACGGUACUGACGCUGAGACGCGAAAGCGUGGGGAGCAAACAGG